GUGAAUCAUCGAAUCUUUGAACGCAAAUUGCACUCUCUGGUAUUCCGGGGAGUAUGCCCGUUUGAGGGUCAGUUUAAAUAAAAACAGGUGUGGUUGCUGCCUUUCGUGAUGACGCACCGGAAUUGGGUCGUCUUGCUUUCGGUUAUGUGACCUAGAAUUUUUCAUGAUUUUUUUCGAACGUAUUUAAAUGAUUUAAC
rnacentral:misc_RNA from 1 species